UUGAUAGGCAAGAUGUGUAAGCGUUGUGAGGCGUUGAGCUAACUUGUACUAAUAACUCGUGAGGCUUGAUCAUGUAACC
rnacentral:rRNA from 1 species